rnacentral:rRNA from 1 species
GCUUACGGCCAUACCACCCUGAACACGCACGAUCUCGGAAGCUAAGCAGGGUCGGGCGUGGUUAGUACUUGAAUGGGAGACCGCCUGGGAAUACCAGGUGCUGUAAGCU